CUUGUUUAGAACUGGUUUAGACCAGGUUUAGUCUUGGGUACAAAGUCAUCUGAUAAGGCCUUGCAUGUGAGAGAGUAUGCAAAGAGAGAGAGAGCUAGUUUGACAACCCGCGCUGAGCAUGUAUUUUUCUCCUUAUGCCCAUGGGCCCUUCAACCUGCUGGGCCCCUGGGCUUAGCCCCUGCAUAAAUCCGGCCAUGGACUGUUUUUUUAGUGAUCCUGGAUCUGAUCUUGGAGUUGGUUUGGGAUACGGUUGGCGAGCCAGACCCAGUGAGAACUCUUGGCUGAUCCAGAAGCAGUUUGGCCAGCUGUUCUGGAUGCGGGAGUAGAUCUACAGACUGUUGGAUAAAUAUUGCUAUUCUCUAUAUUUUGCUUUUCUUACACGUCAUAAUCUGCUGACUGGAAAGAUGUUACUAAUGCUUCUGCUUUGAGUUACAGAUUUUGGUUUAUAAACAGAAAUAUUGAGCAGCCGUGUGUGUCCAAAACUGGGACUGUCUCAAGGACGAGAAAAAUGAAUACUGUGUAAGAUACUGUGUGCUUGCAAAUUGUUAUCUACUGCUCUGGUAUGCAACCCCCUUCCUUUAGACCAGAGCAGUACAUUGUAUACUAGGGACGUGAAAACUGAAUAAAAUGCAAUGUGAGGCAUCCAGAGAACUCAGAGCGGACAAGGGAGGUUUAGCCCCAGCUUCGUUUGUAGCUGAGUCUUAAUCUCUGUCUGCCUCUCCUUGCAAGUAAAAUGAGAAUUUGUCUUGUCUCGCUUUCCUUUAUUAAUUAUUGUGUUUUGUUGGUUACCAGACCCAACAUUUGGUCACUUCGAGCCGGAUCCCAAGAGGUCCCAGGUCUCCUGGAGGCGAUCUGAAUCCAGUAAGACGGUGGCCACCGCAACUGAAACCCUUUCCGGGAGCUGCCUUUAUCUCAUCUCCAGGAGUCCGGGGACUGACGGGAUACCGAAGGAGUGAGACAAUACAAAGAGAAUAGGACGUGAGUAUGUCUUAUUUUAAAAACGGGGUGUGAAUGAGGAACACGCGUAAAGAAGGUCCUAAAUAAUACUAGUUAAACAGGACAGGGGAUUGUAACCCAAACAAACUCGGGGAAGAGUUUCAAAAUUACUGAGGGGAUAGUAACCCAAACAAACUCGGGGAAGAGUUUCAAAAUUACUGAGGGGAUAGUAACCCAAACAAACUCGAGGAAGAGUUUCAAAAUUACUGAGGGGAUAGUAACCCAAACAAACUCGAGGAAGAGUUUCAAAAUUACUGAGGGGAUAGUAACCCAAACAAACUAGGGGAAGAGUUUCAAAAUUACUGAGGGGAUUGUAACCCAAACAGAUUCCUUAGGGAGUUUCAAAAUUACUGAGGGGAUUGUAACCCAAACAGAUUCCUUAGGGAGUUUCAAAAUUACUUUAAGAGUCGACAUAAAAUAGAUUGCGAAUGAAAGUGUGAAUGAAUGAAUGAUUGGUGUAAACUUCCGAUAAUAAGUUUGCACAUAUUAAGUAAACGGGGAAAUACAGUGACUGUGUUCAGAUGUAAUAGACAAGAUUUCUCCACCCCCUCGGAGGUCGAAGUGAGAAAUACUGAACACUGAUUUUUACUGUCCGUGUAUACGUUGAGAAAACCCAGUAUUAGACGACCCUAGGUCAAAACACUGGGCCAAAAUGGGAAACUGUAAUAAAACACCGACACCUUUAACUAAAGACUACAAAAUGGUUGAACAGGAAUGCCCCGGGGCUAGCAAAUAUUUAAAAUAAUGUCAGUGAUAGGCCUAAGAAAAAAUCAUCAAUAAUAAAUAUAAAGCAAAUACAAUCUUAAGAAUAACUUCUAACUUCUAGAGGAUAAUGAUAAUGAUAAUAGAAUAUAUAAUAUAAUAAACGAUAACAUGCAUACUAAUAGAAAUAGAAAUAAUAUAACAGGUUAAAUAAAAUAAAAGACAUUGCUUUUGGUUAUAGACUCAUAUGUCUGUACUUGAAGUACUAAUGAGAGGUUUUAUUUUUCUUUUGUAAGUGGAGAGAUAUGAUUUGGAAAAGAUGAUGCAUGUGUGACUAGGUGGUGUGUGUAAGUGUCUGGAUUUGGAGAGUGGCUCCCCAGGGCGGGGCAGAGCGACUGAAUGCUCUGUGCCCCAUGGUGACAGAGAGGGAGAGAGUGGAGGAAGAGCAGAGAGUGUGUGAGUAUGAGGUCAGAAACGUACAGAGGAGACAGGUCUGAAGUGCUGUGAAUGAAAGAAGGAGUAUUGUGAAGUUGAUUCUUUGUUGUGUGUGAAGCCAGUGACGUUGUUGUAAGAGGGGAGUGAUGUGGUGAGAGUUAAGGGGCCUGUGUGAUGAUGUGUGCUGUAUAGUUUUGGAGGAUCUGUAGUUUCUGUAGGGCUUUGGAAUAGGGCUGCAACUAACAAUUGUUUUGUAAUCGAUUAAUCUAUCGAUUAUUUUUACGAUUAAUCGAGUAAUCGCUUAGCUGUGAAUUGUGUAGGAAAAUUUUUUUUUUUUUCAUUUUUUAAUCACAAAAAGCUAGAGUGGCACCGCUUGAGGACAUAUUGAUGACGUAAACUUAAAAUAAAUGUUUGUUGGAGGCUCUUGGUGCUAAUUCUGCAUUCUGAUUGGAUGAGACACAGACAGAUAUUGAUGAAAUUUACAAUGUACAAAACACUACAGACCCCAACUAUAAAAACAAAAUAGGUUUUCAUCAAAAAUAUUACAUUUUCAUGUCACCUUUGCUCUAUUUGAGUCUGUGUGAACCAGAAAACGAUUAAUCGAUUACUGAAAUAGUUGUCGACUGUUUCGGUAGUCGAUUGGUCGUCGAUUAAUCGAUUAGUUGUUUCAGCCCUAUACUUUGGAAGGCAAAGAGAAGUUUUCUCAGUAAAUAACUAUGAUUGUUGAGUGUAGGCAGUGAACGUAGCCUUAAAUGCUGAUUUGAUUCCUCUUGUUUUAAGCAAAACACAGGCCUAUUAGAUGUGUUCUACUAGAUUAUAAUUUAUGUAAAAGUCACUGUUAGUAAUUGAAAAUGUAUUAUGCAGGAAUUGCAAAAAAUAACUGUUGCAAUAUUAUCUACAGCCUAGAUACAGACCCCGGCAGUGUACCUUUACUGUGCAUAUGCACAUUUGGUCUGAACUUCACAGUCAAACAAGUAAACCUGUAGAGCAGCCAUUCCCAAAGUCCGGG
ensembl:lncRNA